rnacentral:rRNA from 1 species
GGUAAUACGAAGGGGGCUAGCGUUGCUCGGAAUUACUGGGCGUAAAGGGCGCGUAGGCGGAUAUUUAAGUCAGGGGUGAAAGCCCGGGGCUCAACCCCGGAAGUGCAUUCGAAACUGGCGGUCUUGAGUACGGGAGAGGUGGGUGGAAUUCCUGGUGUAGAGGUGAAAUUCGUAGAUAUCAGGAGGAACACCGGUGGCGAAAGCGGCCCACUGGCCCGAUACUGACGCUCAUGUUCGAAAGCGUGGGGAGCAAACAG